GAAAUCAUAUAGAAAGAGAAAAGUAGUAGUAUAAGUGAAGGAAAAAAAGCAGAGAGGACUAAAAAGGAGACCGGAUGUUGACAAAUUUCAUGUCACUGUUCUUAUUAGAACCAAACCAAAGCAAAGCAGCUUCUGUUUGUUUGUGUCAAGAUUUUCUUAUCUGGGAUCUCUCUCUCUCUCUUUCUUUAGUACACAAACCUUUCAAGUCUUAUACAAUUUCUGUUUCUUUCUCUCUCUACUUCUUGUUCUUCUCUCUCUAAAAAAUAGAGCUUUCUUUUUGCUCUUUUUCUGAGAAUUAGAACCAAGAAAGAGAAAAAAGAAUUUCUUGUGUGGUGGCCCCAUCAGAUGUAAAUCUCCAAUCUUUUUUUUUCAGUUUCAUUAGGAUCUGAAGCUUCUUUAAUUCAAUGGUCUACUUGUUUCAUAAUUAUUAUUAAAUAUUUAUUUCUCAUUGUUUUGAGUUAAUAAUUCCACUUUUUUUGGGGUCACUCAAUUGGGGUCACUCAAUUUAUCAUGAUUCUUGAGUUGGUGAAUUACUUCAAUAUAUGUUCAUUGUUCAAUCCAUGAAAAGGGUAUUGAGAAGAGUUGGUUUCAAGAUGUGGGGUUGAGGUAAAUUCUUAUUCUUCUUCUUCUUAUUAUUAUAUAUUUAUUUGCUUUUAGAUUUAUUCUUAUUUGACUUUUAAGACCCCCCAAGAACAGAAUAUUUCUAUUUUUGCUUUGUUUAGUUUAAUUAAUGGUUUUGGAUUCUAAAAUUAUGAGCUUUUACAUUUUUCUUUGUUACUUGCAGAUUUGAUUAAGUUCUUGGAUUUUACUGGUGAUCUUAUCUGUUUUGGAUCUUUUCUAGCUUUUAUGUUUAUAAUUUUUACCUCAGAUUUUACUGGUGAUCGUAUCUGUUUUGGAUCUUUUCUAGCUUUUAUGUUUAUAAUUUUUACCUCAUUUACUCUUCUAAUUGAAAAAGAUUGGAACUUUAAUUGCUUAUGAUAUGGUUUCUAUUGGAAUGAUAUUCUUAAAUUCAUUUAUUUGUCUGAAUUAGGUAAGCAAACUAUUACUUUUUGGAAGAAGAAAAGUGGGGUUAAGAGUUUAAAUUGCAUGAGUAAAAGAUUGAGACUUUAUUAGAAAAAGGUCCUAUAUUAGCCUUUUUUUGGCUUAAUUUGAUUCCUACUGCACUAGCUUUAAUUAAAUUUCCAAUGUGACAACUAGAAAGUUCAUCGUAAAAGUGGAUUACAUUAAAAUUCAAUUUAUCUUCUAUUACAAGAUUGCUUGUCUUCAUUAGUAGAUUACGGUAAUUGGAGAGUUUUGGAUUUCAGUGCUGCUUAGAGACAAAUUUCCAGAUUAAUUGUAAUCUUAGUCGCGGUCCGUUAUCUUGUUUGUUUCCUUUGCUAUCCUUGGACCCUACAUUGUGAUUCCUUGUUUCUUGUGUGCUAUUAGUUUUUAAGUGUUAAAAUGCCUGGCUGAUCAGUGAUUACUAGCUAAUCCGGCUUCACGCAGGCGAGUUGCAGCCUGCAAUCCGAACUGAGGAUGUGUUUUCAGUGGGUUCUGUUGGGAAAUGAUAAAUGGCCUACUUAACCCAGUGGUUAGAGUACUGCUUUCAUGGGGUGCGUGUGAACAUAAAUUUGACGAAGGAGUGAUUGAAAAAGUAUAUGCAAGUCGUAUAUCUUGGUUUCUGAAAGAGUGUGAAAACUUCUCGAGUUUUUCCACGUGUUGCUGAUGAGAAUUGUGCAGAGUGUGUGUUUUACUUGGGUUGCUCUGGUGCAAUUUGUCUUUUUUGAUAUGGUCAGG
rnacentral:lncRNA from 1 species